GUGUACUUUGCAAUGUGUUUACUUCCCACACAAAUUGUAAACAUGUUUGACUGUAAAGACUACAUAUCAACUGCUUCACUCAUGCUAUACUUCAUUAUUUUCACUCAUUUGUUACUUUCACUAAUUGAACAUUAUUCUGGGCUUUCACAACAUAGAAUAUAAUUUGACAUGGUAGAGCUA